AGAGAACAGAAAUACGAAGAUGGAAUUGCUUUGCUGAGGAACGCACUAGCUAAUCAGAGUGACUGUGUCCUGCAUCGGAUCCUAGGAGAUUUCCUUGUAGCUGUCAAUGAGUAUCAGGAGGCAAUGGACCAAUAUAGUAUAGCACUAAGUUUGGACCCCAAUGACCAGAAGUCUCUAGAGGGGAUGCAGAAGAUGGAGAAGGAGGAGAGUCCCACGGAUGCCACUCAGGAGGAGGAUGUGGACGACAUGGAAGGGAGUGGGGAAGAAGGGGACCUGGAGGGCAGCGACAGUGAGGCGGCCCAGUGGGCUGACCAGGAGCAGUGGUUCGGCAUGCAGUGAGGCAGGCGGCAGCUCUGUGGCCACACUGGCCUGCCCUGCUCUGAGCACUUCUGUGGACUGAAGGAGCCCGGAGGAGCCCGCUCUCUGGGAGGACAAUGAUUCCGCAUGUAAUUGCAGCAGGGGUCUCUACCCCUUGCUCCCUAUUUCUAGUAGUGAAUUCAUUUUUAAAAACUGAGCCUGACCGACCUUCCAUAUAUCUCUGUCCUCCCCUGCUCCAGUCAGGGAGGAUCGAGUGAGCUCUCUGGGGGGCCUGCAGACGUGCCAGGGCUUCUGGGACAGAGUGCUUUUUAUAUAACUAAUUUCUAAAUCUGAAAGCUUUGAGGAAUAGACAGUUCUGUCUCUGACAUUGUGGGUGAGUUUAAAGGAGUGACCUAUCACCCAGAGCAAGAGUGUCCUCUGCCAUGUCAGACAGCAGCAUGGGCUGGCCCUUUCAGAGAGGGUUUCCUGUUCCGGAAAUCAUCCUGAGCUGUCCAGACUUCCCUAGUAACCUUGCUUCCUUCUGCAAUGUUAGUAAUGCCUUAAGCUGACAGUUGCUAUUUUGCAGAACAAUUUUCUUAUUUGCUAAUCUGGUAACUUGCCUAUGAGCCUGGGCCGGAUCUAAGAAACGGGUGUGACCUAGAGCAUGAACAAAGGCACACCUGGGGUAAUUAACUAAUAAAACUGUUUUUUGUACAGUAA